rnacentral:rRNA from 1 species
GAUGAACGCUAGCGGCAGGCUUAACACAUGCAAGUCGAGGGGUAUGCUUCUUCGGAAGCAGAGACCGGCGCACGGGUGCGUAACGCGUAUGCAAUCUACCUUUUACAGAGGGAUAGCCCAGAGAAAUUUGGAUUAAUACCUCAUAGUAUUAUAGAAUGGCAUCAUUUUAUAAUUAAAGUCACAACGGUAAAAGAUGAGCAUGCGUCCCAUUAGCUAGUUGGAAGGUAACGGCUUACCAAGGCUACGAUGGGUAGGGGUCCUGAGAGGGAGAUCCCCACACUGGUACUGAGACACGGACCAGACUCCUACGGGAGGCAGCAGUGAGGAAUAUUGGACAAUGGGCGCAAGCCUGAUCCAGCCAUGCCGCGUGCAGGAUGACGGUCCUAUGGAUUGUAAACU